GGAGAUAGAGGGGAUGAUGUGACCUUGAUCUGGGAUAGAUGGAUGAAGAGGAAGGGAAUACAGAAGCCGUGGACUUUUAUUUCCGGUUUGGUAGCUUGCUAGGAGAUUAUUUGGAAGGUUAAGAAUGGCGUGAUCUUUAGGAAUACUCGACCGGAUACCAUCCUUGCAGUCCACAAGAUUAAGCGGCUAACGAAGUCCUGGGACCAAGUUCUGUUUGCCCGUUUGUUAUAGUUUUUUUUUUUUUUUUCCCACUCCUAUCGAGGCCAGUGUUGUCUCACUCAUGUAGCCUAAUUCAUCCUUUCAAUGAAUGAAGCAGGUAACGUGCUAUCUUUUUCUCGUCGCUCAUAACAAUGACUCCAAUAC
rnacentral:lncRNA from 1 species